rnacentral:rRNA from 1 species
AGUUUGAUCCUGGCUCAGGAUGAACGCUGGCGGCGUGCCUAACACAUGCAAGUCGAACGGAGUUCUUAAGGAAUGCGACUUCGGUCAAAUGACUUUUGAACUUAGUGGCGGACGGGUGAGUAACGCGUGAGCAACCUGCCUUUCAGAGGGGGAUAACAUUUGGAAACAUAUGCUAAUACCGCAUAAGAUUACAGUACCGCAUGAUACAGUGAUCAAAGGAGCAAUCCGCUGAAAGAUGGGCUCGCGUCCGAUUAGAUAGUUGGUGAGGUAACGGCUCACCAAGUCGACGAUCGGUAGCCGGACUGAGAGGUUGAACGGCCACAUUGGGACUGAGACACGGCCCAGACUCCUACGGGAGGCAGCAGUGGGGAAUAUUGCACAAUGGGCGAAAGCCUGAUGCAGCAACGCCGCGUGAGGGAAGACGGUUUUCGGAUUGUAAACCUCUGUUUUCGGUGACGAACAAAUGACGGUAACCGAGUAGGAAGCCACGGCUAACUACGUGCCAGCAGCCGCGGUAAUACGUAGGUGGCAAGCGUUAUCCGGAAUUACUGGGUGUAAAGGGAGCGCAGGCGGGAUAGCAAGUCAGCUGUGAAAACUAUGGGCUCAACCCAUAAACUGCAGUUGAAACUGUUAUUCUUGAGUGGAGUAGAGGCAAGCGGAAUUCCGAGUGUAGCGGUGAAAUGCGUAGAUAUUCGGAGGAACACCAGUGGCGAAGGCGGCUUGCUGGGCUCUAACUGACGCUGAGGCUCGAAAGUGUGGGGAGCAAACAGGAUUAGAUACCCUGGUAGUCCACACUGUAAACGAUGAAUGC